AUGAACGCUGGCGGCGUGCCUAACACAUGCAAGUCGAACGAAGCGCCUGGCCCCGACUUCUUCGGAACGAGGAGCCUUGCGACUGAGUGGCGGACGGGUGAGUAACGCGUGGGCAACCUGCCUUGCACUGGGGGAUAACAGCCAGAAAUGGCUGCUAAUACCGCAUAAGACCGAAGCGCCGCAUGGCGCGGCGGCCAAAGCCCCGGCGGUGCAAGAUGGGCCCGCGUCUGAUUAGGUAGUUGGCGGGGUAACGGCCCACCAAGCCGACGAUCAGUAGCCGACCUGAGAGGGUGACCGGCCACAUUGGGACUGAGACACGGCCCAGACUCCUACGGGAGGCAGCAGUGGGGAAUAUUGCACAAUGGGGGAAACCCUGAUGCAGCGACGCCGCGUGAAGGAUGAAGUAUUUCGGUAUGUAAACUUCUAUCAGCAGGGAAGAAGAUGACGGUACCUGACUAAGAAGCCCCGGCUAACUACGUGCCAGCAGCCGCGGUAAUACGUAGGGGGCAAGCGUUAUCCGGAUUUACUGGGUGUAAAGGGAGCGUAGACGGCAGUGCAAGUCUGAAGUGAAAGCCCGGGGCUCAACCCCGGGACUGCUUUGGAAACUGUGCAGCUAGAGUGUCGGAGAGGCAAGCGGAAUUCCUAGUGUAGCGGUGAAAUGCGUAGAUAUUAGGAGGAACACCAGUGGCGAAGGCGGCUUGCUGGACGAUGACUGACGUUGAGGCUCGAAAGCGUGGGGAGCAAACAGGAUUA
rnacentral:rRNA from 1 species